CAAUACAAGGCAUACGGCUCAGUAACGCGUAGUCAACCUAACCUAUGGACGGGAAUAACCUCGGGAAACUGAGAAUAAUGCCCGAUAGAACAUUAUGCCUGGAAUGGUUUAUGUUCCAAAUGAUUUAUCGCCGUAGGAUGGGACUGCGGCCUAUCAGUUUGUUGGUGAGGUAAUGGCCCACCAAGACUAUUACAGGUACGGGCUCUGAGAGGAGUAGCCCGGAGAUGGGUACUGAGACACGGACCCAGGCCCUAUGGGGCGCAGCAGGCGAGAAAACUUUGCAAUGUGCGAAAGCACGACAAGGUUAAUCCGAGUGGUUUCUGCUAAAGAAACCUUUUGUCAGUCCUAGAAACACUGAUGAAUAAGGGGUGGGCAAGUUCUGGUGUCAGCCGCCGCGGUAAAACCAGCACCUCAAGUGGUCAGGAUGAUUAUUGGGCCUAAAGCAUCCGUAGCCGGCUCUGUAAGUUUUCGGUUAAAUCUGUACGCUCAACGUACAGGCUGCCGGGAAUACUGCAGAGCUAGGGAGUGGGAGAGGUAGACGGUACUCGGUAGGAAGGGGUAAAAUCCUUUGAUCUAUUGAUGACCACCUGUGGCGAAGGCGGUCUACCAGAACACGUCCGACGGUGAGGGAUGAAAGCUUGGGGAGCAAACCGGAUUAGAUACCCGGGUAGUCCCAG
rnacentral:rRNA from 1 species